rnacentral:snoRNA from 1 species
CUGCUGUCAGUGAAGCCAACUAUGUUCUUUUGCUGGUGGGUGCAAAGUGUGCAGUGUCUGCAAAUAGCAACCUUCUCAGCAGUAUAUGCAGCCUAUUAAUUAUAUAGGCUACCUUAUGGGGCCUUGGAGACAUUG